UACGGGGGGUGCGAGCGUUGUCCGGAUUUACUGGGCGUAAAGCGCACGUAGGCGGCUCUUUAAGUCGGGGGUGAAAUCCUGGAGCUCAACUCCAGAACUGCCUUCGAUACUGAAGAGCUCGAGUCCGGGAGAGGUGAGUGGAACUGCGAGUGUAGAGGUGAAAUUCGUAGAUAUUCGCAAGAACACCAGUGGCGAAGGCGGCUCACUGGCCCGGUACUGACGCUGAGGUGCGAAAGCGUGGGGAGCAAACAGG
rnacentral:rRNA from 1 species